rnacentral:rRNA from 1 species
CACGCCNUAAACGAUGCCGAUUAGCUGUUGGGCAACUUGAUUGCUUAGUAGCGAAGCUAACGCGUGAAAUCGACCGCCUGGGGAGUACGGUCGCAAGAUUAAAACUCAAAGGAAUUGACGGGGACCCGCACAAGCGGUGGAUGAUGUGGAUUAAUUCGAUGCAACGCGAAGAACCUUACCUGGUCUUGACAUGUACGGAAGAACUCAGAGACGAGUUUGUGCCUUCGGGAGCCGUAACACAGGUGCUGCAUGGCUGUCGUCAGCUCGUGUCGUGAGAUGUUGGGUUAAGUCCCGCAACGAGCGCAACCCUUGUCAUUAGUUGCCAUCAUUAAGUUGGGCACUCUAAUGAGACUGCCGGUGACAAACCGGAGGAAGGUGGGGAUGACGUCAAGUCCUCAUGGCCCUUAUGACCAGGGCUUCACACGUCAUACAAUGGUCGGUACAGAGGGUAGCCAAGCCGCGAGGUGGAGCCAAUCCCAGAAAACCGAUCGUAGUCCGGAUUGCACUCUGCAACUCGAGUGCAUGAAGUCGGAAUCGCUAGUAAUCGCAGGUCAGCAUACUGCGGUGAAUACGUUCCCGGGUCUUGUACGCACCGCCCGUCACACCAUGGGAGUGGGGGAUACCAGAAG